rnacentral:lncRNA from 1 species
UCUCCUGGGUUUCCACCUUGCCAAAUAUACACCUUAGACUUCUCGGCACUCAUAAUCACCCACGGAACUGGGAUUCCUGAAAAUCAAAUACAGAACUCAUCAUACCAUUGGUUGAAUUACAAUGUUCUACUUUAAUUGGGCACUUACAAAGUAAUUCUUCAAUCAGUGUCUCUAAUGUCUCACUGCUUCCCAACAAAUCUACGAAGACAGAACAAAAGAUGCAACUUACAGAAACACAGAAAAUUAAGACUGUCAGAGGACAUAGUGCUUGAUUCGGAGGUGGUUGGGAGAGAGAUUUUCACUGAAUAGCAGAAUAAUGGAAGAUAAUGAUAAAAAUAAUUAAUGGUCUUCUCCAAUCUCUUUCCCUACAACAGAGGAGUCAUGUUUCCUUAAAAACAACAAGGAGACAUCUCAUUGAAACCUCACUGAAUGCCCACAAUCUAGAAACACCAGGUCAGAACCUAAGAGAACACUAGGCUGUCAUCCUUAUGUAAAAGUGUUGCUUCUUAAGGUACCAAGGCUCACUUAUCCUCCACCUUCCCCUGACACCUCUUCCAACCCCACCACACACAAGUAUGUACAUCUGAAUUGAGAACACAAGCGGGUGGUACAGGGUUGAACAGGGGGAGUUACAUCUUAGAAAACAUCAUCCUCCAGGUGUGGAACCAUAAAUGGACUAUAGGCAGAAGCUCCUAUAGUAUAGUAUUCCCCUUGUAUUUCAUCUGCAGGGUGUUGAUGAUACAGAUAAUGGAGUUGGAAAAUGGCUCCAUUUCAGUCCAGAGACAUGAAGCCGAUAAACUUUGGUUAGACACUGAUGUAUGGCUAAGACUCACAGAUAUUUGAUACUCUUUCAUCUAUAGUGAUAUAAAAAGGUGAUUCCGUUAGCACCUGGUAGAGAGUGAGCAGCAUCAAAUGAAAUUGAUACAUUUUCUGAUGGUAAACACUGAAUCUGGAUGCCUUUGACUUAGGAAUAGCAAAGAGGAAAAAAUGAAAACAACACAAGGUCUAGUAAGGAAAGAUAAAGAGAACAUUAUACUGAGGCCCAAGAAGAAUCUGAAAAUGAUUUAUUACAGAAAUCUGAGCUCACAUAAGAAAACUAUAUGCGAGUAUUAAGCACUAAGACAUGGCUUCUAGGAAGCUUUUGAACCUCAACCAGAGAAUUUAGCCAAGAAAAGUCAGGUGUUUUAGUAAUAGACAUAGAAAUGUGUAUGUGUGUGUUGUAGUGUAUGUUAUGCAUGCAACUACGUAUAUACGCAUCUUAAUGUAUAGAGUGAUAUUUAUAUAUGUGGAUAGACAGGGAGAUAAAUAAGUAGGUAGGUAGGUAGAUAUAAAUAGAUAACUCAAAAGGAAAUCCCAUAAGAUUUAUUUUGAUCUCAUUUGUUGGUAAAAACGCCUUCAAUAGCACUCACCACUCAUUCCUAAUUUUUAAAAAUUAAUUCCUACCAAAUUAUGAAUUGAUAACAUACCUUAAAAAUUACUUUUAAAACUAUUGAAUAUUAUAUUUACAAAAAACAGUAUUUGCUAAUACCCUCACUAAUUAACACAGGCUUUGACUUCUUGCCAAGGCAAUAAAAUAUAAUACUGAAAUAAGAGAAGGCAAAUUUUUGUUAUUAUUUGCAGACAAUAUGACUAUUUAAAUAGAGAACUCAAGAGAAUAAUCGGCAAAAGUCUGAGAAUUAAUAUUAAAGUUCAUUACAGUGAUUGGAUACAAAUUAAAUGGCAAAAGUUGAUAGUUUUUCUGUACAGCAGCAAUAACCAAUUAGUGUACAUAAUGUGAAAAGGUACUAUUCACAAAAUAGUAAUAUCUUAUUAAGAAAUGUACAUAAUCUAUAUGAGCAGUCUUAAAAUACUUUACUAAGCAAUAUAAAUAAAAACUUCAAUAUAAUAAAAAUAGAAACUGUAUUUCCAUAACGGAGCACUGGAUUUUUUUUAAAUAUGCAAAUAACUUUCAAAUUAAUGAUAGGGUUAAUAAAUGUUAUUUGAGAUCACGAUAAAAUAAUUCAAAGUUCAUUGUGAGACUAAACAUGUAAAAGUAUCUAUGAACAUUAUGGGGAAAGAAAAAUAAUUCACAUCUUUUAAUACAUUAAGACAGGUGUUUAAAUAUGUUAUGAUGUUAAAACACUGUGGUUCCGGUUCAUGAAAUUACAGUUAGAUUAAUAGAACAGAAUAGAUAGUAUUUGGACACACUAUGGUACGUAUAAUAAUUUAGGUUAUGGCAAAAACAGAGGGCAUGAUAAACCAAAGGAUUAAAAGAUUUAAGUUUCUAAACAAAUGGUAUUGGG